GAAAUGCGAUAAGUAAUGUGAAUUGCAGAAUUCAGUGAAUCAUCGAAUCUUUGAACGCACAUUGCGCCCGCCAGUAUUCUGGCGGGCAUGCCUGUCCGAGCGUCAUUUCAACCAUCAAGCCCCCGGGCUUGUGUUGGGGACCUGCGGCUGCCCGCAGGCCCUGAAAACCAGUGGCGGGCUCGCUGUCACACCGAGCGUAGUAGCAAUCACCUCGCUCAGGGCGUGCUGCGGGUUCCGGCCGUUAAACAGCCUUACAAAACCCAAGGUUGACCUCGGAUCAGGUAGGAAUACGCGCUGAAGAUAAGC
rnacentral:misc_RNA from 1 species